UACGUAGGGUGCGAGCGUUGUCCGGAAUUAUUGGGCGUAAAGAGCUCGUAGGCGGUCUGUCGCGUCGAUCGUGAAAACUUGGGGCUUAACCCUGAGCUUGCGGUCGAUACGGGCAUGACUGGAGUUCGGCAGGGGAGACUGGAAUUCCUGGAGUAGCGGUGAAAUGCGCAGAUAUCAGGAGGAACACCGGUGGUGAAGGCGGGUCUCUGGGCCGAUACUGACGCUGAGGAGCGAAAGCGUGGGGAGCGAACAGG
rnacentral:rRNA from 1 species